GACGAACGCUGGCGGCGUGCUUAACACAUGCAAGUCGAGCGGAGCGGCGAACGGGUGAGUAACGCGUGAGUAACUGCCCCCCUCUCUGGGAUAACAGUUGGAAACGGCUGCUAAUACCGGAUAGUGGGGGAUGACUCGCGUCCUAUCAGCUUGGUGGUGGGGUAGUGGCCUACCCAGGAGACGACGGGUAGCCGGCCUAGAGUGCGACCGGCCACAUGGGGCUGAUGAACCGCCUAAACUCCUACGGUAGGCAGCAGGUGGGAAGAGUGCGCGAUGGGUGAAACCCGGAUGCAGCAACGCCACGUGCGUGAUGACGGCUUUCGGGGUGUAAACCGCUUUCAGGCAUGAAGCGGUAGUAGCAGAAGAAGCACCGGCUAACUACGUGCCAGCAGCCGCGGUAAUAC
rnacentral:rRNA from 1 species